rnacentral:misc_RNA from 1 species
AAAGUCGUAACAAGGUUUCCGUAGGUGAACCUGCGGAAGGAUCAUUAACACUGAUCACCUUAUCAAACCAAACCGUGAAUUUGUUUUUCUCCCUAUGCGUUUACUACCUUUUUCGUAAAGGAGGGACUGCUUAUGCUGUGAUAAUUGGAAUGUGACUUGUCACAUUCACUCGUAAGCUGGGUAUACCAAUGAUUUAAUAGUCAAUGAGUAUACAUCCCUGUAAAUGCAUCGGUUCAUUUAUCCUAUUUCAACAUCUCCAUUAUGAUGCUGAGUAGGAGUUAUUUUUAUUUAACUUUAAAAACCCCUUUCUUUAAUCAUACCAAUUGGACUAAUAAACGUUUGUCUCGUGUACCGAAAGGAACAUGUGACAAGCAAUUACUAACGCAAAUACAACUCUUAGCAACGGAUAUCUCGGCUCUC